UUGCCGCCGUGGUUGCCAGGCAACGCGGUCCCUGCCGCCGCCGGCGCGGGGUUCGACCGCACGAUGGGGCCGCGGGGCCUCCCCCGACUCCUGCUGGUGCUCCUGGACUGCUGGGCCUCCGUGAACGCCCAAGCCGGGACCACCCUGGUGGUGACAACGGAGGGCCUCAACUCUACGGAACCAGCCCUGACGACUCCCCGACCUGCCUUGUCUGCUAGGCCCCCGGGCACCCCCAGUGCCCCCGGACCCUCCUCGGGUCCCAGGCCCACCCCGGUCACGGACGUUGCCGCUUUGUGUGUCUGUGACCUGUCUCCAGUACAGUGUGACGUCAACUGCUGUUGUGAUCCUGAUUGCAGUUCCGUGGAUUUUAGUGUCUUUUCUGAUUGCUCAGUUCCAGUUGUCAUGGGUGAUAGUCAGUUUUGUAGCCAAAAAGCAGCCAUCUAUUCGUUGAAUUUAACAGCAAACCCGCCCCAGAGGCUAUUUAAAGUUGUAGACCAGAUCAAUCCUUCUAUUUUCUGCAUUCAUAUUACAAACUAUAAACCUGCAUUAUCCUUUAUUGAUCCAGAAGUGCCUGAUGAAAACAAUUUUGAUAAAUUGAUGAAAACAUUCCAUGGUUUUUCAUUGAAUACAGAAUCAGAUGUUUCUUUAACAAACGAACCAGAUGUUCCAAAUACUACUAAAUAUGAGUAUGGGGUUCUUCUGCAGACUUCAGAUUCAUUUUUGAGAUUUCCUUCCCCCCUUACGUCAUCUCUGUGCACUGAUAAUAACCCUGCAGCAUUUCUGAUGAAUCAAGCUGUUAAGUGCACCAGAAGGAUAAACUUGGAACAGUGCGAAGAAAUGGAAGCUCUGAGCAUGGCUCAUUACAGCAGCCCUAACAUUUUGAGGGUACCUAAUUCAAAAACAAAGGUCCCUAUCACUGUCCAGUCCAUCGUCAUUCAGUCUCUAAAUAAAACGCUCACCCGGCUGGCAGACACGCACGUAUUGGAGCCGGUUCUUGUUGAAGAGGCUGGGGCUGUUAAAGUCUGCACCAAGGUCGUUCUAGAGGUAAAGUACAGUCUCACAUACACAGAAGCAGGUGAAGUAACAAAAGCCGAUCUCUCUCUCCUUCUGGGGACAGUGAGCGACGCAGAGCUUCCACUCCAGCAAAAGUUUGAAAUUCAUUUUAUUCAGCAAAAUACAAAGCCAGUUCCUCUCAGUGGAAACCCUGGUUAUGUUGCGGGCCUCCCGCUGGAUGCUGGAUUUCAGCCUCACAAAGGGUCUGGAAUUAUUCAGACCAUGAAUAGAUAUGGACAACUUACUAUUCUUCGUAGCACAGCUGAGCAAGACUGCUUGGCAGUAGAGGGGAUUCGGACCCCAGUAUUAUUUGGUUACAAUAUGCAGUCUGGCUGUAAACUAAGACUGACCAGCACGAUCACGUGUCCACUUGUCGUGGAGAAGGUGAAGAGCCUGCUGAAGGGUCAGGGCUUCCCAGAUUAUGUGGCCUCUUUUGGAAAUUCUCAGGCCCAGGAUGUGCCGGACUGGGUGCCUGUCCACUUCAUCACCCAGGCACCCCACACGAAGGAUGUCUGCCAGCUCCCACUGGCUUUGGUUAUAGAAGUGAAGUGGACUAAGUACGGAUCCUUACUGAACCCACAGGCUAAAAUAGUCAACGUAACUGCAAAUCUAAUUUCAUCCUCAUAUCCUAAGACCAACUCCGGAAAAGAAAGGACGGUUCUUAUUUCCACUGCGGUUACUUUCGUGGAUGUGUCUGCUCCUGCAGUGGCAGGCUUCAGAGCUCGGCCAACCAUCAAUGCCAAGCUGCCCUUCAAUUUCUUCUUCCCAUUUGUUUGACACCCUACGUGGAAACCAAAUUGCACCUUUGGGAAGACGGUAGAGAGAACAGACUCUGAAGUAGCAAAGGCAUUGAGGGCUUAUCCAGUUCACUCACCUCCUGCUUUGAUAGUGCUCAUAUGAAAGAACGCCUCAGUAUUCACGUAGAACGUGAAAACUGCAUUUGAUGAGAUUAAAUGUUGUAUACAACUAGUGACUGUCCAGCUUUGUUGUACAUUUUCAAGCAAGAGUCAAGUGUUCAACAUGAGAAACAGCUUAUGAUACAUUUGUGAUACAGUGCAGGUGGGAAUGGGAUGGGAAGCCCUCGGUCACACCGAGGAAGAGAGAGAGCCUUCCGGAAGACUGUCCCUCCAGGAUCCAAGCUGGGUAGGAGGCAGAGACAUCAGACCAGCCCUGUCCCGCAGAUGCCCCACGCGUCUCAUUCACAGCCACAGCCCGUGAGGCGGUGUCUCUGGAGUGGAGCAGGGAUGCCUCUAGUUCACCUCCCCCAGAAGUCCGUGCUGUCUCAGUAGCUUGUUAAGUCUUCCAAUUUCUUGUUCCUGUUAUUACAAAAGCAGAGAAAUAACUGAAUUUACCUCUGAGUCUCAUCAGGGAUGUGACCAUCAUUCCGUGAGCCCUGGUACGAGGACAGGCCACGAAGCUUGUGGAGUCAGCCCGCUGAAGGUGACUGCCACAGUCAGAUGGGGUCCAGUGACAAGAGGAGGGAUGCCCAGCCUAGCUCUGGGAAGGAGGCAAGGACAGGGAAGGCUUGGCCAGGGGGAGGGGUGCUCCUGGCUCAAGGCCCACAGGAACGAAGGCCUGGUGUGAGAAGCACUGUGCUGAGGUGGGCAACUGCCAACAGGUGGUAUUUCCCCAGAAGUGCUUUCUUACCUUCUCAGAGCAGCUGAACUCAAGGUGCUGGAUCUUGGCAGCCAAUUGCAUAUUUAUCUGUUUUAACCUCAACAGUUGCCGUUCUGAACGUGUCUUAACUGAGAUAAUUAUUCCUGAAAAAUAAUUGAGGGUCUCAAUGAUCCUGGUUUCUAAUUUAACCACUUGAAAAAAAAAAUCUGUAUUCCUUAUAAAUGUAUACAGUUGAGAAGAGUGGUGACAGACAA